rnacentral:tRNA from 1 species
GCCCUGCUGGAGGAGUUGGGCGACGACGCGUGUGCGGCGUACGUGCGGCAGAGCAUCGGCGAGCUGCACCUGCGGUUCGGGGAUCCGCGGCGGGCCG